CUACGGGACGCUCCAGUGAGGAAUAUUGCACAAUGGGGGGAACCCUGAUGCAGCAACGCCGCGUGGAGGAUGACGCAUUUCGGUGUGUAAACUCCUUUUAUAUGUCAAGAAAAUGACGGUAGCAUAUGAAUAAGCACCGGCUAAUUCCGUGCCAGCAGCCGCGGUAAUACGGAGGGUGCAAGCGUUACUCGGAAUCACUGGGCGUAAAGGACGCGUAGGCGGGUUGGAAAGUCAGGUGUGAAAUCCUACAGCUUAACUGUAGAACUGCACUUGAAACUUCUAAUCUAGAGUAUGGGAGGGGGAGAUGGAAUUAGUGGUGUAGGGGUAAAAUCCGUAGAUAUCACUAGGAAUACCUGAAGCGAAGGCGAUCUCCUGGAACAUUACUGACGCUAAGGCGUGAAAGCGUGGGGAGCAAACAGGAUUAGAUACCCUAGUAGUC
rnacentral:rRNA from 1 species